GAGUUGGCUGCGUUUGGAGAUCCCUGGGCCUAAGAGCACCAGAUUCUCAAAACAGUAAGUCCUACCACUUGUUCUAUCACAAAACUUAUUUUGGGCAAGUCACUCAAGCCUUCGAUAGGUAAGAGAGUCCCUGAAUGCUAAGAGAGUCCCUGAAAGCAUUCCAGCUCAAGUCCGCCCCAGGAGGGAGCCACCCCAUGGAAGGACAGAGCUGAGCAACAUGCCACUCAAAGGAAAAGCACUUAGAACCACUCUAACACAGGCUUUGGAGCCACAUGUGGGUUUGAAUCUCAACUCUACCUGUCUGAGUGACCCUGGGCAAGUCACUUCACUUCCCUGAGACUCAAGUUUCAUCAAGAUGGGAACAAUGAGCAUCUGCCUCACAGGCUUGUCGUGAGGAUUAAGUGAGAAGGUGCAGCUGCAAAGACAUCAAACUGGACCCAUCGAGGAUUUCGGAUUCAGCCAUCAUGGGGCUGCUGCCGGGGAAGCCACUGCCCCUCCUUUCUCCUCAGCACUGGGGUUAUAAAAAAAUACCUACAAACC
rnacentral:antisense_RNA from 1 species